AGGAGCUUCAUCAAUGAAAGGAUAAUGCAGGCUAUCGCAGAUAAGAGCUGAAGCCAAUACAGAAUCUUGCUGAUAUUUCUGGAAAGGAAAACCCACCCUGCAUAAGGUACAAUGGGAACUUCUGAAGAAAUCCAAAUCCAGAGCUGAUGGGGCUCAACAUAUCCUCCACGGAUUCAAUUAGAUCUCUAGAGCUUGAUCUCAGUCCUCGGAAGCUGCUAAUUCCAGCAUCAGCUAUUGACCAUGUGGAUUGGCGUUGCCAUUCUAGCUCGUGACUCCCGUUUAAUAUUCUAGCUCCUUCAAUUCAUAGAAUGAUGGUGAUGAACCAGAAGUCGGUUUUGUCUGGGGUAUUGGCAAAGCCUCCCAGGAUUACAACCGUUGCCUAGAUGAAACCAAGGGUUCCCGGGCCAGUGGCUGUGUUUUCGAGAACAGCAAGGCGAAGAGCAAACAAUGUCAGCUUUUUGUCAGGGCCAGAACAGCUGGCAGAGCAGGGAAACAGAGUUUUUUCUGUUUCUUUCUCUCAUACCAGCACUAGUUUUUGGCUCAAAAAUUGUCGCGGGUGAAAUGAUGGUAUCAUUUUUCUUCUGAAGCGGAGGAAUAUCCAGAUGAAUGCUGCUUCGACCUUCAGUGGAGUUCUUCACCUUCAUUUUGCAGUCUGGAGUCGCUCAAAAUUGGAUGGCUCUUUAUAUGUCGAAUCGGCUGAGGAAAACUUAUACUUAGUGGUGUUCAAUAGAACCUGAAUUCAAUUUCCAAAAUUUCUGUUUAUGAAUUUCCUGGAAUGGGAUGAGAAAGAGCAGGUUAAGCCGUUUCUAUUGCCAACUUUUCUGGAAGUUCUCUCGUUCUUGGACUAAAUUCCAAUAUCGUUGGCUUGCUUACAUCUAAAGUUCCAUCGAUGAGCUUUCUUGACUGCCUGUUGAAGAUCUUGUACUCUCCUUCCGCAUACCGCCAUUUGCUGCUCAGCAACUGCUUUGGCUUGUAAUCAACAAUAAACUAUGCAAGAGAGAAAAUGAGUUCAAGGUAAAUCAGCUCCGCUUAGAUGUGUACUUAAAACUCUUUGAUAUUAUGCAAUGAAUGAUCUGGCUUCUUGAGUUGUACAUUGCCCUGCGCAGCUCCUUCUAAGGCAUCGGCGCCAACCUCAUCAAAAGGAAGAUCAGUCAUGGAGUCGAACCUUUCAAGGUCUCCUUCUUUUUCGGGUCUCUCUGUGCACGAGGGUCAUUGUACUAUUGCAAGUCAUCAUCAUUCGGUCCUGUCUGGAAAUCGCCACAUUACUUGCAGCAGUUCUUUACGUCAGAAUCUGUCAACCUGUUUUGCAUCCGCAUGUUCAUGCAUUGAGUAAUAUUGUAAUCUCUCGCAUGACAGGUGCAUUCUCGGGUUUCCGCAGCCGCUUGCUUGCUUGCAACUCGACUAUUCUUGCAGUGUCAUGGAAAGAGCAGUUUGGCAUUUUAGUCUGUAGCUUGCUGGAGAUGUCGUUACUUGCAAAAAUUCGAAAACCUUUGAAACGUUUAUCUAAGGUUAUGGCAAUUUCUAUUGACCUCGGUAUCUUUUAAUAUGCAACUAAGGUUAUGGCAGGUGUUGCAGCUACCGUCGCUUGCGCGCGCAUAAUAAAGUAAUUAUGCAUAGAAAGAAAAUGAAUGUGCAUGCAUAGUAGGUGAGCUGAAGAGAGAGGAAGUAGGGACAAUUCUGAAAAUUUAAUAGUGAGGGAAAAAAAGGGAGUGGUCAACUGAAGCGUGAAAGAAUGGAAGGGGGUAAUCUAUGUGUAUGUAUCUGUGUGUGUGUCUAUAUAUAUAAUUUAUUUUGUAAUUUCUUGUGCAGAGUCAACAGUUUCAAUUGACUUUCGUUCUUUCCGUUUCCUUCCUUCCCCUCCACCAUUUCUUGCUUUUCCAUCUUCGCAACUCACAGCGACUGAUCUCGCUCACCGUCGAGACGCUGAAUCCUCGCUUGUCUCAGCUCCAAAACUCCCUGAUGUGCAUCACAAGAAUGUCGGUUCGCGUAGAUUACGAUCUUAGUUUCAUUCGCUUUUGUUUUAUGGAGUCAGCUGUUCAACUGCGAGUUCCCAUUUUUCUUUGGUUCUUCGGUUCUCAUCCUAUUUAACGGGUUUCGGAGAAGCGUUAGUGCAGAUAAUUUAUGGGUUCAUUGCAAGAUGUCCUUCUAAAGACGUCACAAAGCGUUUGAAAUUACGGAAUUACUGCACUGGAUUAUGCCGUCUUAAGUCUUCGAGUAGCAGCUAAGUUGAAAAAGAUUUGGAAGGGGAAAUCCGGUCUUUUAAUAGCAGAAGUAGGGAGCUCAGAAUCAGGG